CGAACCGACACUGUCAUUCAUAGUUAAUUAAAGAAAAGAAGCAGCAUUGCGGACCGGCCAUGAUGCUGAAAAUUUAUUAAUUGAUUCCAUGGGAGACGAAAUCCAAGUGGAUUGAUACACCUAACUGGUGCCACCAAAAGAGGGGAACUUCCAUGGAUGGAGAGUGUGUGAGGUACCAACAACAAAUCUCCCGCCAGCCAUUUAUGACCAACAAGCAUCAGACCUUAGACGACUGUAAGUUCACCUAAAGUAAGGCUAACUCCAAAGCAUUUGGACAGUCCAUUCACCAACAAAUGCCAUCAUCCUCUGUUACUCAUCAAAAAAGGAAUAGCCUACCCAGACAGCAAAAACGGUUUGUGGGUGCUUCGGAUGAAAUCUAAACUAACGGAAAGGAAUAUCUCACGCAGACCAUGACCGAAGCGAUGACUGGUGGACACUAGCCGGAGUCUGGGACAGGUGACUAGGAUCACAAACAACCCCCUCGGUCGGACCUAGGCCUUUACCACGCCCGAAAGGACGGCCUCUUCUAGGUACUAAUUUGGAACAAGGAUCCCUAUGGAGACUUCCUACCUGCCUAGAAAGAGCUCUAUCUAUUGGGGAAGGGUAAAUACCAUGUAGUACGGUUGACGGUAUAAUCAAAGAUGAGUACCCUAGAAAAAAAAUGCCUGCCUUUUCAAAAAAAAACUAAUUUCCUUUUUUUUCUUUUAUUUUUAGGUAAUAUGUACGUCCGUCCGUCCGAAGGUUUAGUUUUAAGUAUUAUGUUAAGGGUCUUUGUAAGCCGUCACCUGGAGCACUGCGGUCUGCGAGUGCUUUUGAAGGAAGUCCCACGCUGGUGCAGAGAUGAGCCGUUGCUAUCAGAAGCUUUUGUUUUUUUUUCUCUUUUCUUUUUUUUUUGCAAUAAAGGAAUCGAAUGAUUUUGCUUUGGUCUGUUUUUUUUUUUUCUUUUAGAAUUCAGAUCAUUUUCUUGUUCAUCAUUUAAAAUAAAAGUGCCUUUUUCAAUGUUAGGCUUUUAGAGGUUUCAUCCCUCUUUGGAUUGUUCGGUUUUGUGUCAUCAUCCACUUGCUAUGCAGUCUUUGUAGCAAUGCAACACAACAACACCAACACUACACGACCGCGGCUGCACUUUUUUUUUAAUUCUUUUUUUUUUCUUGCUCGUUAAGCUCACUUCCAGUUGUCUUCUCGGCUCACCUCCGGCUUGCUGCACAGUCCAAAUCAAAAAGAAAGAUUUCCUUUCCUAGGACAGUGGCCUAUGUUGUCAUUUUGUUCAUCAUGGCGCUCUUCCCAGACCGAACUUCCUCUGAUGGGCCAAA